rnacentral:rRNA from 1 species
ACGAACGCUGGCGGCGUGCUUAACACAUGCAAGUCGAGCGGUAAGGCCUUUCGGGGUACACGAGCGGCGAACGGGUGAGUAACACGUGGGUGAUCUGCCCUGCACUUCGGGAUAAGCCUGGGAAACUGGGUCUAAUACCGGAUAUGACCUCCUAUCGCAUGGUGGGUGGUGGAAAGAUUUAUCGGUGCAGGAUGGGCCCGCGGCCUAUCAGCUUGUUGGUGGGGUAAUGGCCUACCAAGGCGACGACGGGUAGCCGACCUGAGAGGGUGACCGGCCACACUGGGACUGAGACACGGCCCAGACUCCUACGGGAGGUAGCAGUGGGGAAUAUUGCACAAUGGGCGAAAGCCUGAUGCAGCGACGCCGCGUGAGGGAUGACGGCCUUCGGGUUGUAAACCUCUUUCAGCAGGGACGAAGCGCAAGUGACGGUACCUGCAGAAGAAGCACCGGCUAACUACGUG